rnacentral:rRNA from 1 species
GGCCUCUUGGUUUUUUUAAGGUCUGACCUGCCCAGUGAAAAUUUUUAACUGCCGCGGUAUAUUGACCCUGCAAAGGUAGCAUGAUCAUUAGUCUUUUAAUAGAAGGCUGGAUUGAAAGGUUUAGCGAAUCUUUAGUUGUCUCAUUUUUAUAAUUUAAAAUUUAAUUUUUAAGUUAAAAAGCUUAAAUUUUAUUGAUGGACGAGAAGACCCUAAGAAGCUUUGUAUUGAAUUUUUUAAUAAAAUAUAGAUUUAUGUUCAUGUGUUAGAAUUAUUUAGUAUUUUGUUGGGGUGACAGAAAUAAACAAUUAACUUUUUUAUCAUUUAACCAUUAAUUUAUGAGUUUUUGAUCCAUUACUGAUUAUUAGAUUAAGUCACCUUAGGGAUAACAGGGUAAUCUUUUUUUGGAAUUCAAAUUUACAAAAAGGCUUGUGACCUUGAUGUUGGAUUAAGAUUAUAGUUUGGUGCAGUAGCUAAAUUAAUAGGUCUGUUUGACCUUUAAAUUCUU